UUUUUUAUGGAGAGUUUGAUCCUGGCUCAGGACGAACGCUGGCGGCGUGCUUAACACAUGCAAGUCGAACGGUAAGGCCCUUCGGGGUACACGAGUGGCGAACGGGUGAGUAACACGUGGGUGACCUGCCCUGUACUUCGGGAUAAGCCUGGGAAACUGGGUCUAAUACCGGAUAUGACCUUUCCCUGCAUGGGGUUUGGUGGAAAGCUUUUGCGGUACAGGAUGGGCCCGCGGCCUAUCAGCUUGUUGGUGGGGUAAUGGCCUACCAAGGCGACGACGGGUAGCCGGCCUGAGAGGGCGACCGGCCACACUGGGACUGAGACACGGCCCAGACUCCUACGGGAGGCAGCAGUGGGGAAUAUUGCACAAUGGGCGAAAGCCUGAUGCAGCGACGCCGCGUGAGGGAUGACGGCCUUCGGGUUGUAAACCUCUUUCAGUAGGGACGAAGCGCAAGUGACGGUACCUACAGAAGAAGCACCGGCCAACUACGUGCCAGCAGCCGCGGUAAUACGUAGGGUGCGAGCGUUGUCCGGAUUUACUGGGCGUAAAGAGCUCGUAGGCGGUU
rnacentral:rRNA from 1 species